rnacentral:tRNA from 1 species
CGCGGGGUGGAGCAGUCUGGUAGCUCGUCGGGCUCAUAACCCGGAGGCCGAAGGUUCAAAUCCUUCCCCCGCAA